GCGGAUGAGCCAAUAUCUAGCG
rnacentral:tRNA from 1 species